rnacentral:piRNA from 1 species
UACGAAAACAAAAUCCCCAGCGGAAAAGA